rnacentral:rRNA from 1 species
GCUUAGAAGUAAACCAAGGCAGAACCCCUACCACCCUGCCCGCCAGAGUAUUACAAGUGAAAAGCUUAAAACUCAAAGGACUUGACGGCAUUCCACAUCACACUAGAGGAGCCUGUCCUAUAAUCGAUAAUCCGCGAUUCACCUCACCUGUCCUCGCACAAUUCAGCCUAUAUACCGCCGUCCCCAGCUCGCCUUGCAAAAGACCACAUCCGCGGGCAAACCAGCCAACACUAAUACAUCAGGUCAAGGUGUAGCUUACGGACAGGAAGAGAUGGGCUACAUUUUCUACACACCAGAAAACUACCACCCGCACCAUGAAACAAGUGCACAAAGGAGGAUUUAGCAGUAAGCCACGCAAGACUGCAUGACUGAACAUCGCCCUGGAAUGCGU